rnacentral:rRNA from 1 species
AGCGGUGGAGCAUGUGGUUUAAUUCGAAGCAACGCGAAGAACCUUACCAGGUCUUGACAUCCUCUGACAAUCCUAGAGAUAGGACGUCCCCUUCGGGGGCAGAGUGACAGGUGGUGCAUGGUCGUCGUCAGCUCGUGUCGUGAGAUGUUGGGUUAAGUCCCGCAACGAGCGCAACCCUUGAUCUUAGUUGCCAGCAUUCAGUUGGGCACUCUAAGGUGACUGCCGGUGACAAACCGGAGGAGGGUGGGGAUGACGUCAAAUCAUCAUGCCCCUUAUGACCUGGGCUACACACGUGCUACAAUGGACAGAACAAAGGGCAGCGAAACCGCGAGGUUAAGCCAAUCCCACAAAUCUGUUCUCAGUUCGGAUCGCAGUCUGCAACUCGACUGCGUGAAGCUGGAAUCGCUAGUAAUCGCGGACCAGCAUGCCGCGGUGAAUACGUUCCCGGGCCUUGUACACACCGCCCGUCACACCACGAGAGUUUGUAACACCCGAAGUCGGUGAGGUAACCUUUUAGGAGCCAGCCGCCGAAGGUGGGACAGAUGAUUGGGGUGAAGUCGUAACAAGGUAGCCGUAUCGGAAGGUGCGGCUGGAUCACCUC